rnacentral:tRNA from 1 species
ACCUGGCUGGCUCAGUUGGUUAAGCACCAGACUUCAGCUCAGGUCAUGAUCUCACGGUCCGUGGGUUUGAGCCCUACGUCAGGCU